GAAGGGUUUCAGCUCAGUGGUAGAGCACCUGCUUGGCAGGCAAAAGGUGCAAGUUUCAAUCCCUGGCAUCUUCA